rnacentral:rRNA from 1 species
UACGGAGGGUGCGAGCGUUGUUCGGAAUCACUGGGCGUAAAGGGCGUGUAGGCGGUCCGCUAAGUCUGAUGUGAAAGCCCGGGGCUCACCCCCGGAAGGGCAUUGGAAACUGACGGACUCGAGUCCCGAAGAGGAGGGUGGAAGUUCCUGGUGUAGCGGUGAAAUGCGUAGAUAUCAGGAGGAACACCGGUGGCGAAGGCGGCCCUCUGGACGGUGACUGACGCUGAGACGCGAAAGCGUGGGGAGCAAACAGG